CAGAUCACCAGUUGCACUCAUGGCUGUAACACCCGUGUGAAAGCCACGCCAUGGUGCUCUCCGUGGGUCUUGUUCUACUUCUUGCAGUAACUUCCACACAGGCGGCAGUGUGCAGGGACCGCCAGGAGUGUUCAGACUGCGACAAGAGAGGACAUUGUACAAACAGAAUGUAACACUGGGUAUU